AAGGAGGAAAUACUGCGAAAUUGCGUUUUGCCAUGUGAAAAGCAAUACACGCUUUGCUGUGAAGAAUCCCUUAAUCCUGACGGAUUAAAAUUGCUGAAGGAAAAUGAAUCCAUUUGCGGUAGUUUUGGUGAACCAAAAGAUCGCACGAAAUACCGGCCAUGGACGGCCUUACUCGAGUACUACGACGACCUACAACAUGGGAGACGGUUUUAUUGUGGUGGCACUCUGAUUACUUCGAAAUUCGUCUUAACGGCUGCGCAAUGUAUAAAAGACAACUUG